GAUGAAGAACGUAGCGAAAUGCGAUAAGUAAUGUGAAUUGCAGAAUUCCGUGAAUCAUCGAAUCUUUGAACGCACAUUGCGCCCCCUGGCAUUCCGGGGGGCAUGCCUGUCCGAGCGUCAUUUCUGCCCUCCAGCCCGGCUGGGUGUUGGGCGCUGUCCCCCCGGGGACACGCCCCAAAGGCAGUGGCGGCGCCGCGUCGGGUCCUCGAGCGUAUGGGGCUUUGUCACCCGCCCGGGACGGACUCGUCGGCGCUGGUCUUCCUCCAGGCGACCCUUCGGGGCUCGUCUUCCUUCGGUUGACCUCGGAUCAGGUAGGGUUACCCGCUGAACUUAAGCAUAUCAAUAAGCGGAGGA
rnacentral:misc_RNA from 1 species